rnacentral:rRNA from 1 species
GACGAACGCUGGCGGCGUGCUUAACACAUGCAAGUCGAACGGAAAGGCCCUGCUUGCAGGGUACUCGAGUGGCGAACGGGUGAGUAACACGUGGGUGAUCUGCCCUGCACUUCGGGAUAAGCCUGGGAAACUGGGUCUAAUACCGGAUAGGAGCCAUUUUUAGUGUGAUUGUUGGAAAGUUUUUUCGGUGUAGGAUGAGCUCGCGGCCUAUCAGCUUGUUGGUGGGGUAAUGGCCUACCAAGGCUGCGACGGGUAGCCGGCCUGAGAGGGUGGACGGCCACAUUGGGACUGAGAUACGGACCAGACUCCGACGGGAGGCAGCAGUGGGGAAUAUUGAAAAAUGGGCGCAAGCCUGAUGCAGAGACGCCGCGUGGGGGAGGACGGCCUUCGGGUUGGAAACUCAUUUCGCUAGGGACGAAGCUUUUUGUGACGGUACCUAGAUAAGAAGCACCGGCUAACUACGUG